rnacentral:rRNA from 1 species
UUAAGCGACUAAGCGUACACGGUGGAUGCCCUGGCAGUCAGAGGCGAUGAAGGACGUGCUAAUCUGCGAAAAGCGUCGGUAAGGUGAUAUGAACCGUUAUAGCCGGCGAUGUCCGAAUGGGGAAACCCAGUGCAAUUCGUUGCACUAUCGUUUGAUGAAUACAUAGUCAAACGAGGCGAACCGGGGGAACUGAAACAUCUAAGUACCCCGAGGAAAAGAAAUCAACCGAGAUUCCCCCAGUAGCGGCGAGCGAACGGGGAGCAGCCCGGAGUCUGAAUCAGCUUGUGUGUUAGUGGAAGCGUCUGGAAAGUCGCAGGGUACAGGGUGAUACUCCCGUACACUAAAACACACAGGCUGUGAACUCGAAGAGUAGGGCGGGACACGUGGUAUCCUGUCUGAAUAUGGGGGGACCAUCCUCCAAGGCUAAAUACUCCUGACUGACCGAUAGUGAACCAGUACCGUGAGGGAAAGGCGAAAAGAACCCCGGCGAGGGGAGUGAAAAAGAACCUGAAACCGUGUACGUACAAGCAGUAGGAGCCUCUUUAUGGGGUGACUGCGUACCUUUUGUAUAAUGGGUCAGCGACUUAUAUUCUGUAGCAAGGUUAACCGUAUAGGGGAGCCGCAGGGAAACCGAGUCUUAACUGGGCGUUAAGUUGCAGGGUAUAGACCCGAAACCCGGUGAUCUAGCCAUGGGCAGGUUGAAGGUUGGGUAACACUAACUGGAGGACCGAACCGACUAAUGUUGAAAAAUUAGCGGAUGACUUGUGGCUGGGGGUGAAAGGCCAAUCAAACCGGGAGAUAGCUGGUUCUCCCCGAAAGCUAUUUAGGUAGCGCCUCGUGAACUCAUCUUCGGGGGUAGAGCACUGUUUCGGCUAGGGGGUCAUCCCGACUUACCAACCCGAUGCAAACUACGAAUACCGAAGAAUGUUAUCACGGGAGACACACGGCGGGUGCUAACGUCCGUCGUGAAGAGGGAAACAACCCAGACCGCCAGCUAAGGUCCCAAAGUCAUGGUUAAGUGGGAAACGAUGUGGGAAGGCCCAGACAGCCAGGAUGUUGGCUUAGAAGCAGCCAUCAUUUAAAGAAAGCGUAAUAGCUCACUGGUCGAGUCGGCCUGCGCGGAAGAUGUAACGGGGCUAAACCAUGCACCGAAGCUGCGGCAGCGACACUAUGUGUUGUUGGGUAGGGGAGCGUUCUGUAAGCCGUUGAAGGUGGCCUGUGAGGGUUGCUGGAGGUAUCAGAAGUGCGAAUGCUGACAUAAGUAACGAUAAUGCGGGUGAAAAACCCGCACGCCGGAAGACCAAGGGUUCCUGUCCAACGUUAAUCGGGGCAGGGUGAGUCGACCCCUAAGGCGAGGCCGAAAGGCGUAGUCGAUGGGAAACAGGUUAAUAUUCCUGUACUCGGUGUUACUGCGAAGGGGGGACGGAGAAGGCUAUGUUGGCCGGGCGACGGUUGUCCCGGUUUAAGCAUGUAGGCGGAUGUUCCAGGUAAAUCCGGAACGUUACUAACGCUGAGGUGUGAUGACGAGGCACUACGGUGCUGAAGUGACAAAUGCCCUGCUUCCAGGAAAAGCCUCUAAGCAUCAGGUAACAUCAAAUCGUACCCCAAACCGACACAGGUGGUCAGGUAGAGAAUACCAAGGCGCUUGAGAGAACUCGGGUGAAGGAACUAGGCAAAAUGGUGCCGUAACUUCGGGAGAAGGCACGCUGAUAUGUAGGUGAAGUGGUUUACCCAUGGAGCUGAAAUCAGUCGAAGAUACCAGCUGGCUGCAACUGUUUAUUAAAAACACAGCACUGUGCAAACACGAAAGUGGACGUAUACGGUGUGACGCCUGCCCGGUGCCGGAAGGUUAAUUGAUGGGGUUAUCCGUAAGGAGAAGCUCUUGAUCGAAGCCCCGGUAAACGGCGGCCGUAACUAUAACGGUCCUAAGGUAGCGAAAUUCCUUGUCGGGU